AAAAAAAUAAACGCCGCGCUUAGCUGGAGCGCCUUGUACGCGCCGCAACAGUCAUACUCAAAAAAAAAAAAAAACACUGAGUUGGUAUUGUGUUAAAAGUAAUAAUGAUAAAGUUUGUUAGGCAAAAGAGUCGCGAGCAUUCAGUUAAAGCAUCAAAAAGUUUUUUUAAGAAAAAGGGCGAGUCGAAUGAUUCCGGUACCGAAUCUGAUGGUGACGUCCUAGAUGUUGACAAGCAUCGCCCUUUAGACUUGGACAUGGAAACCAGCUUAAGCUCCUGCGCCGAUGUGAAUUCGCCAACAACAGACACCGCCUGCUCUUCGUCAGCGUCUUCUGCGAUGAUGUGUCAAUCCCACCUUUUAUACGAUCAACACAGCUCCGAAGAGGAACUGGAAGUGAUCAAUGGCCCAUCAUCGGUAGCAGCCGCCGAAGCGGCAUCCAAUGUAUUGGUGGUGCGUGGCACCACCUCAUCACUCAUAUCGGAGCGUGGCUCGUCGUCGUUGGAGCCCGAGGAGCUAUUCGGCGAAGCGUCGACAUCGAAACGUUCCAGCUCAACUUUGGUUGAGAAUCGCAAACGAUCUCUGGCGCAUAGCUCCGAUGAUGACCAGCUGAGAAACUUCUUGGAACCAGUAUUGACACCAGUGAAUUUUCGCACAUCACCACCAUUGGAAGCUUUCAAGCCAAACCGCAGCCACAAAUAUCGCUCCACAACGCCACUGAUACUAUCGGAGGCGCGUUGCGGCAUCGAAAAUAUUAAAUUAUGUGAUAAUAGUGUUAAUGACGAAAAUGGUGAGGCUGCUGCUGGCGGCGCGUCGUCAUGUGCCGCAACAGCGGCGUCGGGUGCGUCUAGCGGCAAUGCCGCACAGGCUGGCGGUGCAUGCGCUGGCGACAACAGUUCAACGAGUGUGAUUAAGGUGUGCACCUCAUCGCUUAAGAUGAGCAAUAGCAGCCAUCAUAUCUAUCAGCCGCAACCCAAAUAUAAUUUCCACUAUAAUAGUUCGCGCAGUAGUCCCGCAUCGACGACCGGCCUCGAUGCGAUGGAGGUGCGCUCGGUUAGUCCACCGGCGAAACUCUUCCAUUCGGCUAGAUCACCACACCGCCGACCGAUACGCACACAACACGCCACACAGAGGCUACAGCGACCACAUCGGCCGUGUUUAGAUUUUGAUAAAAUGCAGCAACUCGCAUUACCCAUAACGAAAACAAGAAAUUAAAGAAAACGAAGCAAAUACACGAUUGCAAGCAUGAUGAUUACAAGAGAGAGCGAGAGAGACAUGGAGAUAUAGAGUGAGGCAGGAAGAGAACGGAGGGAGAGAGAGAGCGCGAUGUUGCAGAUUUGUCAAUGAAUGUCAAAAUGAAUUAAAUGAAAAUUAGGUUUAUGGCGGUUUUGAUGAAAGAACCAAAAACAGAAAAGAAAGCGAAAGCAUGAGCGCAAAGUCAGUAACAAUGAAAGCUUAGUUUUGACGCGGUGAAAGUGCGCCAUUUUUAAAAGCUUAUGAAAAGCACAAUAAAUGACAGCGAAAAAAGCAACUGAAAGCAAGCCCCAUAAAGCAAAAAGCAAAAAUUAUAAAAAAAAUUACAACAACAACAAUAGCCCUAACUACGCCAAUCCCCAUAAUUUACCGUAAAGAACAGACUUUUAGAAACAUAAAAUCAAAACCAACAACACUACACGCAAACACUUUACUUAAAUGUAUUUGAAAAUGUAAUUUGUAAGUUCGAGAAUAUGUGGUCCCAGUUCUUCUAUUUAUAUAGUAUAUAUAUUUUUGUUCCGAAACGUUAUGUAAAACUUUAAGUCUAAAGUCUGUUAAGUAACAUCACACGAUUUUAUUUAAAAAUAUGAUCUCGAUACUAUUUAGUAACAGGUUUGCCAAAUUGCGUAAGUGUUUAUACCAACUAUCGAAUUUUGUGUGUAAAUUUUGUUGAAAAGUCUUAACUAGUCUAAAUACAGGUUGAUCAACUCGUAAUUCGACCGCGGGAAGGUCUAAAGUCAGAAAGACUUUUCAUACUAACAGAUCUCCAAUAUCAAUACCCAGAGAUAUCGUUCAGAGACAUCAAAAAAGAACGUCUUAAAAAAUGCUAAAAAUCUUUCGAACUCAGCUGAAAGCUUGUCAAACGAGUCAGUUAAGGCAUUUCGAUCGUAAAUAAUAAAUAUUAGACCCAAUUUAUGAAUUCAAUAUUUUUAAAGUCAAAGUUUAACCAAAUUUCUUUAAGGAAGAUGACAAAAGCUACUUAAAUUUUUAAUCUCGAGAUUAAAGUUAUGCAUUUUACAUGGAUUUAUGAAGGCAAGGUCAAGAUCUAGAACAAGUAGCAUAAAUUUUUGUCUAUUGAGGUAUUGGAAGAAGGAAUAGUAUGUAUAUUAUAUACAGGUUAUGAACUCUUCUUUAUAAACCCUACUGAGCUUUCUAUUAGGAAUCUGUCAAUAUUUCGAAUUAACCUAACAGACAAAUGUUUAUCAUCCAAGAGCAAGGUCAUCAACGUAGUAGUAAAGGACAUUACAGUGGUUAUUUCGUUUUAAUAGUAGGCAGAGUUAUUCUCCUAAUUAGUAAGUAGGUAGAGAGAUGUCUAACGACGAACCUAAGUCCCCAUUGUGAUACUGCCGCGACAAAAGUCCUCUAACUGCAUUGGCCCCACUCUACACCUCCCUAUGCUUCUGAUAAAGUUCAUCAGUACAAGUUGUAUCUAUACAAUCUCCGAGUCGUUGUCAAGAAACUCUCAAACUAUUGCGAUUAUUUUCCUAUAUGGAAGCUUACAUU
rnacentral:misc_RNA from 1 species